GCUCCACUUUGCAUUAUCAGCCCAUGCUUCAGUGCUCUGCUAGUGUUUAUAGUCCUGUGAGUUUAACACUUCAUGACUGAGAGCUGCUGCCCCACAAACUUCACCCACAGCAACCAUGACUUUGGUCUCCAUCUUCAUCUGGACACUCACCCUCUGGACUCAAGAGUCCUUUGGGGAGAUAAUCCUGACUCAGACUCCAGGAUCUCAGACUGUUUCACCAGGAGACUCUGUUACUAUCAGCUGCAGAGCCAGUCAGAGCGUUUACAGCAAUCUUGCCUGGUAUCUGCAGAAACCUGGAGAAGCUCCUAAACUCCUGAUUUAUUCUUCUUCUACCCGUCAGUCUGGUGUUCCAGAUCGUUUCAGUGGGAGUGGAUAUGGUACAGAUUAUUCUCUAAAAAUCAGUGGAGUUCAGCCUGAAGAUGCAGGAGAUUAUUACUGUCAGCAGAGUUGGAGCUCUCCGUUCACACAGUGUUAGAGCGCGAUACAAAAACCUCCCUCAGCUGUAGAGGAACUGCUCUGACUCAGAAACUCUCACUGAUCUGAGAACAGCUGCUAAAGCUGCACUCAACUGAACUCAUCAACUUCAAAACACUACAGUAGUGAGCACUGUUCCCUCUUUGGGGGGUUCUCCUCACUGUGGAACAGGGUUCUUCAGCACUAGAUGGAACAUCUCACUAGUAGCAGGAAUGUUUGAAGAAAAACAGCAGCAGAUAAACACACUUAGUACAA